CCUACGGGUGGCAGCAGUGGGGAAUAUUGCACAAUGGGCGCAAGCCUGAUGCAGCCAUGCCGCGUGUAUGAAGAAGGCCUUCGGGUUGUAAAGUACUUUCAGCGGGGAGGAAGGCGAUAAGGUUAAUAACCUUGUCGAUUGACGUUACCCACAGAAGAAGCACCGGCUAACUCCGUGCCAGCAGCUGCGGUAAUACGGAGGGUGCAAGCGUUAAUCGGAGUUACUGGGCGUAAAGCGCACGCAAGCGGGCUGUCAGGUCGGAUGUGAAAUCCCCGGGCUCAACCUGGGAACUGCAUUCGAAACUGGCAGGCUAGAGUCUUGUAGAGGGGGGUAGAAUUCCAGGUGUAGCGGUGAAAUGCGUAGAGAUCUGGAGGAAUACCGGUGGCGAAGGCGGCCCCCUGGACAAAGACUGACGCUCAGGUGCGAAAGCGUGGGGAGCAAACAGGAUUAGAUACCCGGGUAGUC
rnacentral:rRNA from 1 species